rnacentral:lncRNA from 1 species
GUGGCACCAAGGCCUUGCGCGGCCCAACGCACAAGGGGGGGACGGCGCGGCCCUCGCCCUGGGCCCCGGGUGCCACCAGGUUUUCCCUUGGUCGGGAUUUCUUUUGUGGGCCUAGGCAGGGCAGGCGCCCCAUGCUGUCUCCGCACUGACCUAGGCACCCACCCCACAUGAGGGCACCCACCCACAUGAGGCGUCGGGAGGUGUGGGGCCCGGGAGAACAUUGCUCUGCCUGGUUUCCUAGGCGGAGGCAGGUGUGUUGUCGGCAAAGACCCUCACUCAGGCCAAGUGUGUGAUGUCUCUUCUUCUUCCGCAGACGCCGAGCCCGGCACCCGGGAACCUGUUCCGGACGUGCCGCUCCCAACCAUGACUCCCAGCACCGAGGCUGACCACGACCACGACCACGACCACGACCACGACCACGACGCCGAGCCCGGCACCCGGGAACCUGUUCCGGACGUGCCGCUCCCAACCAUGACUCCCAGCACCGAGGCUGACCACGACCACGACCACGACCACGACCACGACCACGACCACGACCACGACCACGACCACGACGCCGAGCCCGGCACCCGGGAACCUGUUCCGGACGUGCCGCUCCCAACCAUGACUCCCAGCACCGAGGCUGACCACGACCAUGACCACGACCACGACCACGACCACGACCACGACCACGACCACGGUAGGGGCCCGUGUGCCUUGUGUCCUCUGCCCCUGGGAGCCCGCUGGGCUGCCGGGGCUCCUUGAGCGAGAAAUGACAUUUCUAUUGGAUCCGGGAACGUAGAGGCGGUG